rnacentral:rRNA from 1 species
UACGUAGGGCGCAAGCGUUAUCCGGAAUUAUUGGGCGUAAAGAGCUCGUAGGCGGCUUGUCGCGUCGUCCGUGAAAACUUGGGGCUCAACCCCAAGCUUGCGGUCGAUACGGGCAGGCUCGAGUUCGGCAGGGGAGACUGGAAUUCCUGGUGUAGCGGUGAAAUGCGCAGAUAUCAGGAGGAACACCGGUGGCGAAGGCGGGUCUCUGGGCCGAUACUGACGCUGAGGAGCGAAAGCGUGGGGAGCGAACAGG